rnacentral:rRNA from 1 species
AUACGUAGGGGGCGAGCGUUGUCCGGAAUGACUGGGCGUAAAGGGCGUGUAGGCGGCCGAUUAAGUCUGGAGUGAAAGUCCUGCUUUCAAGGUGGGAAUUGCUUUGGAGACUGGUUGGCUUGAGUGCGGAAGAGGUAAGUGGACUUCCCAGUGUAGCGGUGAAAUGCGUAGAGAUUGGGAGGAACACCAGUGGCGAAGGCGACUUACUGGGCCGUAACUGACGCUGAGGCGCGAAAGCGUGGGGAGCGAACAGGAUUAGAUACCCUGGUAGUCCACGCGGUAAACGAUGAAUGCUAGGUGUAGGGGGUAUCGACCCCUCCUGUGCCGGAGUGAACACAAUAAGCAUUCCGCCUGGGGAGUACGGCCGCAAGGUUGAAACUCAAAGGAAUUGACGGGG